rnacentral:rRNA from 1 species
UACGAGGGGAGCAAGCGUUGUUCGGAUUUACUGGGCGUAAAGGGCGCGUAGGCGGUCGUGACAAGUCACUUGUGAAAUCUCCGGGCUUAACUCGGAACGGUCAAGUGAUACUGUCGGACUAGAGUACAGAAGGGGCAACUGGAAUUCUCGGUGUAGCGGUGAAAUGCGUAGAUAUCGGGAGGAACACCUGUGGCGAAGGCGGCUUUCUGGGCCUUACCUGACGCUGAGACGCGAAAGCGUGGGGAGCGAACCGG